CGAGCGGACAGAUGGGAGCUUGCUCCCUGAUGUUAGCGGCGGACGGGUGAGUAACACGUGGGUAACCUGCCUGUAAGACUGGGAUAACUCCGGGAAACCGGGGCUAAUACCGGAUGCUUGAUUGAACCGCAUGGUUCAAUUAUAAAAGGUGGCUUUUAGCUACCACUUACAGAUGGACCCGCGGCGCAUUAGCUAGUUGGUGAGGUAACGGCUCACCAAGGCAACGAUGCGUAGCCGACCUGAGAGGGUGAUCGGCCACACUGGGACUGAGACACGGCCCAGACUCCUACGGGAGGCAGCAGUAGGGAAUCUUCCGCAAUGGACGAAAGUCUGACGGAGCAACGCCGCGUGAGUGAUGAAGGUUUUCGGAUCGUAAAACUCUGUUGUUAGGGAAGAACAAGUACCGUUCGAAUAGGGCGGUACCUUGACGGUACCUAACCAGAAAGCCACGGCUAACUACGUGCCAGCAGCCGCGGUAAUACGUAGGUGGCAAGCGUUGUCCGGAAUUAUUGGGCGUAAAGCGCGCGCAGGCGGUUUCUUAAGUCUGAUGUGAAAGCCCCCGGCUCAACCGGGGAGGGUCAUUGGAAACUGGGGAACUUGAGUGCAGAAGAGGAGAGUGGAAUUCCACGUGUAGCGGUGAAAUGCGUAGAGAUGUGGAGGAACACCAGUGGCGAAGGCGACUCUCUGGUCUGUAACUGACGCUGAGGCGCGAAAGCGUGGGGAGCGAACAGGAUUAGAUACCCUGGUAGUCCACGCCGUAAACGAUGAGUGCUAAGUGUUAGAGGGUUUCCGCCCUUUAGUGCUGCAGCAAACGCAUUAAGCACUCCGCCUGGGGAGUACGGUCGCAAGACUGAAACUCAAAGGAAUUGACGGGGGCCCGCACAAGCGGUGGAGCAUGUGGUUUAAUUAGAAGCAACGCGAAGAACCUUACCAGGUCUUGACAUCCUCUGACAACCCUAGAGAUAGGGCUUCCCCUUCGGGGGCAGAGUGACAGGUGGUGCAUGGUUGUCGUCAGCUCGUGUCGUGAGAUGUUGGGUUAAGUCCCGCAACGAGCGCAACCCUUGAUUUUAGUUGCCAGCAUUCAGUUGGGCACUCUAAGGUGACUGCCGGUGACAAACCGGAGGAAGGUGGGGAUGACGUCAAAUCAUCAUGCCCCUUAUGACCUGGGCUACACACGUGCUACAAUGGGCA
rnacentral:rRNA from 1 species